AUUGAACGCUGGCGGCAUGCUUUACACAUGCAAGUCGAACGGCAGCGCGGGGCAACCUGGCGGCGAGUGGCGCACGGGUGAGUAAUAUAUCGGAACGUACCCAGAAGUGGGGGCUAACGUAGCGAAAGUUACGCUAAUACCGCAUACGAUCUACGGAUGAAAGUAGGGGACCGCAAGGCCUUAUGCUUUUGGAGCGGCCGAUAUCUGAUUAGCUAGUUGGUGAGGUAAAGGCUCACCAAGGCGACGAUCAGUAGCUGGUCUGAGAGGACGACCAGCCACACUGGAACUGAGACACGGUCCAGACUCCUACGGGAGGCAGCAGUGGGGAAUUUUGGACAAUGGGCGCAAGCCUGAUCCAGCAAUGCCGCGUGAGUGAAGAAGGCCUUCGGGUUGUAAAGCUCUUUUGUCAGGGAAGAAACGGUAGAGGCUAAUAUCCUUUGCUAAUGACGGUACCUGAAGAAUAAGCACCGGCUAACUACGUG
rnacentral:rRNA from 1 species